CUACGGGGUGCUGCAGUCGGGAAACUUCUACAAUGUACGCAAGUAUGAUAGAGCAAGCCAGAGUGCUUUCCUAUAAUUGGAAAGCUUUUGUGAGAUGUAAAAAGUCUCACGAAUAAGGACUGGGUAAGACUGGUGCCAGCCGCCGCGGUAAUACCAGCGGUCCAAGUGGCAGCCGCGUUUAUUGGGUCUAAAACAUCCGUAGCUUGCUUGAUCAGCCUCUUGUGAAAUCUGGAGUCUUAAGUUUCAGGCGUGCAAGAGGUACUGUCAAGCUAGAGACCGGGAGGCGUAAGGAGUACGGUUAGGGUAGCGGUAAAAUGCGCUGAUCCUUACUGGACUAACGAUAGCGAAGGCACCUUACGAGAACGGAUCUGACAGUGAGGGAUGAAGGCUAGGGUCGCAAAACGGAUUAGAUACCCUCGUAGUC
rnacentral:rRNA from 1 species